AGCACCUUGGCGCAGCGGAAGCGCGCCGGGCUCAUAACCCGGAGGUCGCUCGAUCGAAACGAGCAGGUGCUA
rnacentral:tRNA from 1 species